UUUUUUUUUUUUUUUUUUUUUUUUUUUCUAGGGCCACACCUGCGGCAUGUGGAGGUUCCCAGGCUAGGGGUCGAAUCGGAGCUGUAGCUGCCGGCCUAUACCACAGCUACAGCAAUGUGGGAUCCAAGCUGUGUCUACAACCUACCCCACAGCUCACAGCGACACCAGAUCCUUAACCCACUGAGUGAGGCCAGGGAUCGAACCUGCAACCUCAUGGUUCUUAGUUGGGUUCGUUAACCACUGAGCCACGAUGGCAACUCCUAUUUCCUACUCUCUAAAUGAGGGGUAGUAAUACCUCCUUUAUGGGGAUAUUGUUGAGGAUAAAUUGCCCGCGAGGUGCUCAGCACAAUGCCUGGCGCAUGGUGAGUGCUUUGUGAGUGUUAGCCCUGCCCAGGGAAGUGCAGUGGUGGUAGCGGCCUUGUAUCCAUGUGUGUGGCUGCCCUGUGGCAGGAGGUGCUGGGGCCUGGCUCCUGAGCUCAUGCUACCCUCCCUACAGACCCCAACUCCAGAGUCCUUCCUGACCACCAUCCGGGAUGAGCCGGAGGUGCCAGUGAGCGGGGGACCCAGCGGGGACUUUGAGCUGCCAGAGGAAGAGACCACACAGCCAGACACAGCCAAUGAGGUAGUGGCCGGGGGUGGAGCUGCGGCCAAGCCAUCGCCUCCCCCCGGGACACUGCCCAAGGGUGCCCGCCCAGGCCCCGGCCUCCUGGACAAUGCCAUCGACCCAGGCAGCUCGGCAGCUCAGCUGCCCCAGAAGAGCAUCCUGGAGCGGAAGGAGGUGCUCGUAGGUGAGACUUGGGGCCUGGGAGGACCCCGGAGGGAGCAGCUGGUGGGGCUGCACUUACCCUCUAGGAACCCCGGCGGGGGGGGGGGGGGGGGCGGUCAGGGUGUGGGCUUCUUAGAAGCCUAGUUUCCUAGGAAGGCAAAGCGUGGGACUUGGGGACCCUAGGGCCCAUCCUCUGGUUCCUUCUCUGGACUUCUCUGUCCCAGGGUCUGACCCUGACUUCAUCCUACCCGCAGCACUUUCCUCAGUACCCGCUGACCCCUCCUCAGACUCUGCCCUUGACCCUUGCUUCCCUGGGCCAUGCUGGUUGACCCUUCCUGGCCCUCACCCCCUGGAUCCUAAUCUCUGACCCCAUCCCUUGCUUGACUUGCUCCCAGCCUUGAUGCCAGUCCUGAGGGCCAGCCCUGGCCACAUUUCCUGAAGAGUCUCUGGACUCAUGGUCCAAACCCUGCUCCCCACUUAAGAGCAGUGCGGCCUCAGGAGGGUCCUUCACUGCCCCCAGUCUCCCUUCUCCUCAUCCGUAGAACAAGGAUAAUCAUUCUGCACUUAAUGAAUUCUCGGUGCUCAUCUGUUCCUAUUUUUUUCUUUUUUUUCUUUUGUCUUUUUUCCUUUUCUAGGGCCGCUCCUGCAGCAUAUGGAGCUUCCUAGGCUAGGGGUCUAAUCAGAGCUGUAGCUGCCGGCCUACGCCAGAGCCACAGCAAUGCGGGAUCCCAGCCGCGUCUGCAACCUACACCACAGCUCACGGCAAUGCCGGAUCCUUAACCCACUGAUCGAGGCCAGGGAUUGAACCUGCAACCUCAUGGUUCCUAGUCAGAUUCAUUAACCACGGAGCCACGACGGGAACUCCUGGAAGUUUCUUCUUUCCUGAGGGUAUGUAAAAUCCUGGAGCACCUCCCAACAAAUGGCACCUCACAUUUGAUGAGGACCAUAGCACAGCACCUCCCUCAUGGCGCUGGGUGGAGAUUCUGUGCCUUCCUGUGUGUUAGGUCACUAGAACAGGGCCACGCUUCAGUGGGCUGUAAAUGGUGGCCAGCGCUGGUGUUUUAGCAUUGACUCCAGGCUUCACUCCAGCUCUGGUUCCAGGCUGGAUAUUCCUAGCCCUCUCCCAACUCUUGUCCCACCCUUCAGGGCCCUCUGCCCUUUCCUCAGGCUCUGGGCUCACCCUCGCCUGCCUCUGGCCUUUGACCUCUGCCCUCUUCCUCCACAGCUGUGAUCGUGGGCGGGGUGGUGGGGGCCCUCUUCGCCGCCUUCCUGGUCACUCUGCUCAUCUACCGCAUGAAGAAGAAGGACGAGGGCAGCUACACGCUGGAGGAGCCCAAGCAGGCAAGCGUCACGUACCAGAAGCCUGACAAGCAGGAGGAGUUCUACGCCUAGCGGAGCCACAGUGCCUCCCUGUAGCCGCAGCAGCACCCUUCUGCCCAGUCCCUAGCCUGGCACUACCAGCCCCAGCCUGGGACUGGGCCUGGGAGGCAACCUGGCCCCAGUUCAUCUCCGCCACCCUCCCAAGGUCUGCCUAGACUGCCAGCCUCACACAGCUCUUCCCCAAGGGACAGGGGGCACUGCCAUCUGCCCCAGACUGUGCCCUUAUGAGCUCAUCACUUGUUUUCCCCCCCGACCACCAGCCUGGGGCUUCAGGACCUCAUGUCAGAUGGACAGGAGGAAGGAAGCUCCUGAUUGGCUGGUGGAAGAAGGGGUGGGGCUUGAGCCCUAACAUGGCCCCGCAGGGCUGCCUGAGGUUUCUUUCGAGGGGCAGAGAAGCACGCAGGCUAGCUUCCAGGACAAGCCUUUGGCAAGCUCAGCCCUCGAAAUCUUUGAGACACUGCAACCUCCUGCCCCUGUCCCAGGUCCCCUCUCUGCCUGGGUGAGAGGGUACCCCUCACCACCAGCCUGUUUUGUCCUGGUCUCUGGGGUUGUUGGGUCAUUUUUCCUCAUCCUUGCCUGAUCCCCAUGCACCCACAGGCUUCACCUCCUUCCCAGUCUGCCCCCAAGGUAUUGGCUUCUCAAGAGUGCCCUGGCAGCCUCUGGUGAGGAGGGGCUGGGGUGCUUGGACCUCCUUCUCCCAAGACACCACCUCCACUGUGGUCGCACAUAUCGUCACACACAAAGACAGAAGCACGCAACGACAAAAUCGUAUGCAAUCUUGACCACCCAGCCAAAUGAGACAUGUCACGUACACACACAUCCUUCCAAAGAUGCUUAUUCUCGUGCGUUUCUCAUGUGCCCCCCCUCCGAUGCUAUGACAAUGCAAGUCACUAGUCAUCACCCAGUGGUGACGGCAUGGCCUCCUUCCGUCUCUGCCACCUUCCCCCAUGCCCCACCCCCACACACUCCAACAUCACACACGUUGUCUCCAGCCAUCAGGCUACUGAGGAGGGUGCAAUUAGACUGGAACAAUCAGCCCAUAUUGGGUCCCCUGAGUCACCCCAUCACACUCAGCCCUCACAACACCUGCACCAGCCACAUUGCCACCAACCCCCGGGAGUCAGCCACAAUCCCACGUGGAUGCACACAGUCUCACCCACACAACCCUGCUUUCACACUGGAGGAGGACGGGUGGACCCCCACCUUCCCUGGAAUUAAGUGCGGUGCGGGGGACGUCGCCACAACCCUCCCCCCCGCCCCCGCCCCCUGCAGGACGUUGCACACCCUCUGGCCCGGCCUCACCCUGCCUGCUCCCUUCCAGUCUGUAGUCUGCAAAGGGCUUGGUUCGGGGCCAGUCCCCGCUUACAGAGGAAGGCAGGCUGCUUCCUGGAAUUCGGCCUUAGGCUGGGGGAGGAGGCUUGGGUCUCCCAGGACCAAAGGCCCAGGGAGGGGAGUGGGUGUGCUAUGGGGCUCCUGGUCUCCCUUCGUCCCCCUCCUGCCCUGAGUGAGGGGGCUGACUCUGCCUCCCAGGACACAAGUCUCCAAAGUGCCUGUGAGGGUGGGCCCUGCGCCCAGGCCCUCGGUACCCUCUCCCUUCGGCCUCCCCAGGCCCACCUCAGCCCCGGCCCUGGGCCCUCCCAGGCGCCCUCCGGUGGACACCUGCCCUUGACUGUGACCAAACAACCUGGCGCAUCUGGUGGCAGCCGGAAGCAGCCCUUCCAGACGCACCACCCCAGGCCUCACCACCCCAGGCCGAGGGCUGUGGGCAGGCGGGGUGGGCGUGUCAAACACCCCGACUCGCCUCCCCUUCUUUAUUACCCUUACAAGUGGGGCCACUUAUGUAGAUAUUUUAAAUGUGGGGUCACAAAUCUCCUCCGGGGGAGUGGGCUUUGUGGGGGCUCUUGGAGCCGAGGGGUGUGGUCUGAGUUGUGAUUGGCUGGGGCUCACCCCCCACCCCUUGCCCACAACCCAGGUUAAAAUCAAGAACCCAGGUUUUAUUUCUGUUCCCUUUUCAAGACUUGCUGGCUGGCAAUAGGCUUCCGCAGGGUGAGAGCUGGGGGUGCCCGAGGCGCUGAGGGUGAGGGUCCGGGGAGCUUCCCCAGCCUGGGUUUUCCACUCUCUUGCUUCCAGCCUGGGGCUCCGUCUUUGAGACCCAAAGGUCCCCUGGGCAGGGCCUGGAGGCCUGUGAGGAACCCAGCCGGUCCGAGACUUUGAGGGGGGCAGGAGCAGGGAGAGGCAUCCUGGGCCCAGGAUCCGAGGGGGGUGACCUGGCCUCCGUCACUGGGCGGGCACGGAAGGGCUGGGGAGAGACCAAAAUCCCAGUCUCUCCCCGCCCUGCUCCCUGGCAGGAUGCUGUCUCGGGGCAGCAGCUCGGGUGAGACGGCCUGGGCUGGCCGAGGCUGAGAAGCCAGGGAGCACAGAGAGAGAAUCUGGACCCCCCUAGGAAAGCCCCAGGAUGCUGGGACCAGGGUAUGAGACCCAGCAGUGGGUGCAGCCUGCGCGUGGAGCCCAGCCCAGGACAGCUGAGUGGGACACGGGCUGGCUGGAGGGACCGGGUGGCUCCAGCCUGACCCCAGCAGGCCCGACUCCUCACAUUCUAUGGGCUGGAGCCUAAUGUGAGACCUGGGGGUUUGCCUCCUGGCACUGGCUUCUUCUCUUUGUCUGAGGUGGGAGGCCGAGGACCUCGUUCACAGCCUGGAUGAGUCAAAUGUCCAGGCUUUGUAUUCACGAGGUUUAACACAGACCCAUCAGCCCAAGUCCGCAGGGCAGUCGGGCAGCAGGCGGUGAAAAGGACGAGCUGGAGCUCUCCUAGGUGCAGUGUGGGUGCAGGCCUCACCCUGCCUGGGCACGUGUGUGAUGCGUGCAAGUCCUGCCCAAAUAGGUCCCCAGCCACCCUGGCGCGCCUGGGGACGCAUCCUGUGGGGCCCGGGCCUUGUGAGGAAUGCGGCCAAGUCCAAAGCAAGAGGGAGCUUGUGUGCUAGACACUGGCCAGGGCCACCCCUCCUUCCCCUGCUGUGACUUCUAGAGCCCAGGCUCUGUCUCCUCAGCGGGCUGGAGUGGGGUCCCUCUCCUGAAGGGUUCAUCCCCUUGAUUGCUAGAAGCAGUGGGUGGUCACCAGAGCUGGGCGGGGCAGGUCAGCAGGCAGUGGCUUGGGGCGCUCAGCCCAGACCGCCCCUGGGGUUGGCAAAGCCACCUGUCCAGGCCUCCAGGCCGGGGCUCUUGGGACAGGAGUUGCUUGGGCCUCCUCGGUGUUCCUGGAUUUCUUCUGACAGCCACCACCCUGGACUUGCUUCCCCAGGCCUCCCGCCUGUAAAUAGAAGCCCACAAACUGUGUACAGAUUUACAGAGACGCCGAGGCCGGGCCCCAGAGUCUCCAUCUAAGGGCUGAUGGCCCCAGCAUCCCCCCGGGCGCCCACCAGGCAGCUCAGCGCACCGGCCGCAGCGUGGCGAAUGCAUGUAAAUAUUUUCUGUAGGCAGCGCGGCUCCAGGGAGCCCCCUGAAGACAGUGCCCCUCCCGUGCGUCCUUUUUCCUGUACAGAACCCUGCCUGGGAUUGGGGGGCGCGUGCCCUUCCCUCCCCGAGGCUUCCUUGCCCCAUCCCUCCCCCAUAACCUGUUUAUUAACCAUACCUGUCCUAAGUUCAUGGCCAAAACUUUAAGAAAAAGCGGUGGAAAAAGAAACCAAGGCACCUGCCCCGUGGCGGGCGCUUACUGUCCCAGCCUUGCGAAGGAACUGUUUGGGGUUUUGUUUUUUGUUUUUUUUUUUUGGUUAAUUGAUUUUUUGUUUUUUAACACUUCCCGUGCUGUGCCCAUUUAUAAGAGGAAAUAAAAUUAAGCUGAACU
rnacentral:lncRNA from 1 species